rnacentral:rRNA from 1 species
GGAAGAGAAAGAAAAUUCGAUUCCCUUAGUAGCGGCGAGCGAAACGGGAAGAGCCCAAACCAAAAAGCUUGCUUGUUGGGGUUGUAGGACACUCUAUACGGAGUUACAAAGGACGACAUUAGACGAAUCAUCUGGAAAGAUGAAUCAAAGAAGGUAAUAAUCCUGUAGUCGAAAAUGUUGUCUCUCUUGAGUGGAUCCUGAGUACGACGGAGCACGUGAAAUUCCGUCGGAAUCUGGGAGGACCAUCUCCUAAGGCUAAAUACUCUCUAGUGACCGAUAGUGAACCAGUACCGUGAGGGAAAGGUGAAAAGCACCCCGGAAGGAGAGUGAAAUAGAACCUGAAACCGUGUGCUUACAAGUAGUCAGAGCCCGUUAAUGGGUGAUGGCGUGCCUUUUGUAGAAUGAACCGGCGAGUUACGAUUUGAUGCAAGGUUAAGCAGUAAAUGUGGAGCCGUAGCGAAAGCGAGUCUGAAUAGGGCGUUUAGUAUUUGGUCGUAGACCCGAAACCAGGUGAUCUACCCUUGGUCAGGUUGAAGUUCAGGUAACACUGAAUGGAGGACCGAACCGACUUACGUUGAAAAGUGAGCGGAUGAACUGAGGGUAGCGGAGAAAUUCCAAUCGAACCUGGAGAUAGCUGGUUCUCUCCGAAAUAGCUUUAGGGCUAGCCUCAAGUGAUGAUUAUUGGAGGUAGAGCACUGUUUGGACGAGGGGCCCCUCUCGGGUUACCGAAUUCAGACAAACUCCGAAUGCCAAUUAAUUUAACUUGGGAGUCAGAACAUGGGUGAUAAGGUCCGUGUUCGAAAGGGAAACAGCCCAGACCACCAGCUAAGGUCCCAAAAUAUAUGUUAAGUGGAAAAGGAUGUGGCGUUGCCCAGACAACUAGGAUGUUGGCUUAGAAGCAGCCAUCAUUUAAAGAGUGCGUAAUAGCUCACUAGUCGAGUGACACUGCGCCGAAAAUGUACCGGGGCUAAACAUAUUACCGAAGCUGUGGAUUGUCCUUUGGACAAUGGUAGGAGAGCGUUCUAAGGGCGUUGAAGCAUGAUCGUAAGGACAUGUGGAGCGCUUAGAAGUGAGAAUGCCGGUGUGAGUAGCGAAAGACGGGUGAGAAUCCCGUCCACCGAUUGACUAAGGUUUCCAGAGGAAGGCUCGUCCGCUCUGGGUUAGUCGGGUCCUAAGCUGAGGCCGACAGGCGUAGGCGAUGGAUAACAGGUUGAUAUUCCUGUACCACCUAUAAUCGUUUUAAUCGAUGGGGGGACGCAGUAGGAUAGGCGAAGCGUGCGAUUGGAUUGCACGUCUAAGCAGUAAGGCUGAGUAUUAGGCAAAUCCGGUACUCGUUAAGGCUGAGCUGUGAUGGGGAGAAGACAUUGAGUCUUCGAGUCGUUGAUUUCACACUGCCGAGAAAAGCCUCUAGAUAGAAAAUAGGUGCCCGUACCGCAAACCGACACAGGUAGUCAAGAUGAGAAUUCUAAGGUGAGCGAGCGAACUCUCGUUAAGGAACUCGGCAAAAUGACCCCGUAACUUCGGGAGAAGGGGUGCUCUUUAGGGUUAACGCCCAGAAGAGCCGCAGUGAAUAGGCCCAAGCGACUGUUUAUCAAAAACACAGGUCUCUGCUAAACCGUAAGGUGAUGUAUAGGGGCUGACGCCUGCCCGGUGCUGGAAGGUUAAGAGGAGUGGUUAGCUUCUGCGAAGCUACGAAUCGAAGCCCCAGUAAACGGCGGCCGUAACUAUAACGGUCCUAAGGUAGCGAAAUUCCUUGUCGGGUAAGUUCCGACCCGCACGAAAGGCGUAACGAUUUGGGCACUGUCUCAACGAGAGACUCGGUGAAAUCAUAGUACCUGUGAAGAUGCAGGUUACCCGCGACAGGACGGAAAGACCCCGUGGAGCUUUACUGUAGCCUGAUAUUGAAAUUCGGCACAGCUUGUACAGGAUAGGUAGGAGCCUUUGAAACGUGAGCGCUAGCUUACGUGGAGGCGCUGGUGGGAUACUACCCUAGCUGUGUUGGCUUUCUAACCCGCACCACUUAUCGUGGUGGGAGACAGUGUCAAGCGGGCAGUUUGACUGGGGCGGUCGCCUCCUAAAAGGUAACGGAGGCGCUCAAAGGUUCCCUCAGAAUGGUUGGAAAUCAUUCAUAGAGUGUAAAGGCAUAAGGGAGCUUGACUGCGAGACCUACAAGUCGAGCAGGGUCGAAAGACGGACUUAGUGAUCCGGUGGUUCCGCAUGGAAGGGCCAUCGCUCAACGGAUAAAAGCUACCCCGGGGAUAACAGGCUUAUCUCCCCCAAGAGUUCACAUCGACGGGGAGGUUUGGCACCUCGAUGUCGGCUCAUCGCAUCCUGGGGCUGUAGUCGGUCCCAAGGGUUGGGCUGUUCGCCCAUUAAAGCGGUACGCGAGCUGGGUUCAGAACGUCGUGAGACAGUUCGGUCCCUAUCCGUCGUGGGCGUAGGAAAUUUGAGAGGAGCUGUCCUUAGUACGAGAGGACCGGGAUGGACAUACCUCUGGUGUACCAGUUGUCGUGCCAACGGCAUAGCUGGGUAGCUAUGUGUGGACGGGAUAAGUGCUGAAAGCAUCUAAGCAUGAAGCCCCCCUCAAGAUGAGAUUUCCCAACUUCGGUUAUAAGAUCCCUCAAAGAUGAUGAGGUUAAUAGGUUCGAGGUGGAAGCAUGGUGACAUGUGGAGCUGACGAAUACUAAUCGAUCGAAGACUUAAUCAA